rnacentral:rRNA from 1 species
CCUACGGGAGGCAGCAGUAAGGAAUAUUGGUCAAUGGGCGCAAGCCUGAACCAGCCAUGCCGCGUGCAGGAAGACGGCCCUAUGGGUUGUAAACUGCUUUUGAACAAGAGAAAACCUCGGUACGUGUACCGAGCUGAUAGUAUUGUUAGAAUAAGCAUCGGCUAACUUCGUGCCAGCAGCCGCGGUAAGACGAAGGAUGCAAGCGUUAUCCGGAUUCAUUGGGUUUAAAGGGUGCGUAGGCGGCCUGAUAAGUCAGUGGUGAAAUCUCUCAGCUUAACUGAGAAACUGCCAUUGAUACUGUCGGGCUUGAGUACAGAUGAUGUGGGCGGAAUAUGACAUGUAGUGGUGAAAUACUUAGAUAUGUCAUAGAACACCGAUUGCGAAGGCAGCUCACAAAACUGUAAACUGACGCUGAGGCACGAAAGUGCGGGGAUCAAACAGGAUUAGAUACCCUGGUAGUCCGCACCGUAAACGAUGAUUACUCGUUGUUGGCAAUAUGACCGUCAGCGACCAAGCGAAAGCGAAGUAAGUAAUUACACGUGGAGGUUACGGCCGGCGACGGAGAACGUUAAAGUUAGAGUUAGAGGCGNGAGAGNGCGACGGACGACGACGAGGGAGGUUAGGAG